AGUGAACGCUGGCGGUAGGCCUAACACAUGCAAGUCGAACGGCAGCACAGUAAGAGCUUGCUCUUACGGGUGGCGAGUGGCGGACGGGUGAGGAAUACAUCGGAAUCUACUUUUUCGUGGGGGAUAACGUAGGGAAACUUACGCUAAUACCGCAUACGACCUACGGGUGAAAGCAGGGGAUCUUCGGACCUUGCGCGAUUGAAUGAGCCGAUGUCGGAUUAGCUAGUUGGCGGGGUAAAGGCCCACCAAGGCGACGAUCCGUAGCUGGUCUGAGAGGAUGAAUCGCCACAAUGGAACUGAGAAAACGGCCAGACUCCCAAGGGAGGCCGGAGGUGGGAAUAUUUGGACAUUGGCGGAAGCCUGAUUCAGCCAAAACGGGUGGGUUAAGAAGGGCCUUGGGGUUGAAAAGCCCUUUUGUUGGGAAGAAAAAGCGGCGGUUUAAUCCCCCGCUGUUCUAACGGACCCAAAAAAAUAGGCACCGGUAAACUCGUG
rnacentral:rRNA from 1 species